GACGACGGAUAGCUUGCUACUCGCUGACGAGCGGCGGACGGGUGAGUAACGCGUAGGAAUCUACCCAGUGGUGGGGGAUAGCCCGGGGAAACUCGGAUUAAUACCGUAUACGUUCUACGGAAGAAAGCGGGGGCUCUUCGGACCUCGCGCCAUUGGAUGAGCCUGCGUUAGAUUAGCUAGUUGGUGGGGUAAAGGCCUACCAAGGCGACGAUCUAUAGCUGGUCUGAGAGGAUGAUCAGCCACACUGGGACUGAGACACAGCCCAGACUCCUACGGGAGGCAGCAGUGGGGAAUAUUGGACAAUGGGGGCAACCCUGAUCCAGCCAUGCCGCGUGUGUGAAGAAGGCUUUCGGGUUGUAAAGCACUUUAAGUAGGGAGAAAGGCUAUAACGUUAAUAGCGUUGUAGAUUGAUGUUACCUACAGAAUAAGCACCGGCUAACUCCGUGCCAGCAGCCGCGGUAAUACGGAGGGUGCAAGCGUUAAUCGGAAUUACUGGGCGUAAAGCGCGCGUAGGCGGUUUGCUAAGCCAGAUGUGAAAGCCCUGGGCUCAACCUGGGAACUGCAUUUGGAACUGGCAGGCUAGAGUACGGUAGAGGGUGGUAGAAUUUCCUGUGUAGCGGUGAAAUGCGUAGAUAUAGGAAGGAAUACCG
rnacentral:rRNA from 1 species